CCGACCAGCCACCGUAACUGCUUCAGAGCGCUGUGUCACCUGGAUGUCGGGAGUAUCGCUGGGAGAUAAUGCAGCCAGCCCCCUGACCGAAAGGCAGCACACAGCCUCUGAGCAGAGAUAAAGUCUUGCUCUGUAUCACAAGCUGGCCUCUCCAGGCCUGAGAUGACAGGUAUGUGUCAUCACACCUGGCUGUCACAGGUAUGAUGGGACCCGUGUCUUAUGCUGAACUCAGGGAUGGGGCAAGGACAGGGUCACAGAUUACACCUGAUGGGCUCUCCAUACUCUGGACACCUCAAAGCUCUCCAAUGAGGGCUCAAAACAUGAACUAGCAUCUAGAAUAAGGGCAAAUGGUGUGAGAGAGAGAGAAUGGUAUGUUUCCCCAGCUCCAUUCCAUUCAUAUGCCUUUUUCUAUGCCACCAGGACACACAUACCCCUAGAAACCCCAACUCAUCCCUACCCACAACCUGUGUUCACAUUUCUAACCAUAGAGUCAUCUCACUAGCUCCAUCAGAAAACAUCCACACCCAACAUACUCAAGACUCAAUCUAAUGAUUGUUGUUUGUUUUAAGGAUCUUUAUUUAAGUGCCUGUGGUGUUGAAGUUUCAUCAGGAUUUGGAAGGUCACUGUCGUGCCGCUCUUGCCAAAGUCAAGUGAUGAGAGGGUGGCAGCCGGAUCCGUGGUGUUCACGCAUAAGGCAGGAGCAUCCAGCUUUUCUAGAGGGUUCAACUGCAGUCCUGGGACCCCCGAACGGGAGGUGGCAGUCACAGCUCCAAGGCUGAGAGGGGGGGUGGCCAGCUUCCUAGAGUCACCACUGUGCUGUGAGUGCAUGCUGAGGGGAGGCAGCCAUCUGCCCUGCUUCUAGCCCCACCCCUCUGGCCAACCGAGCAGAUGGUUGAGAGAAGUCAGCUCAGGCGCAGAGAUAAAGGGGACCCAGGAGAACGGCACACCCCAUGAUGAGUUAGGCUUGCAAAGCACCAGUGCCCAGCCAGGCUCCGGAGCCAGGGUGGCCCUUUCCACCUGCCGCCACCACAACCCCAGUCAGGAACUGGAGAGCCUGAUGGUGUGGUGGAUCUGGCCAACAUGGGGGUUUUCAUCCAAAGCAAUAGAGAAGGGCAUCGAACAGACAUGUGCACACACCCAAGGAAGGAAACAAGGCAAAAUCAGCAGCCACCUUCCCAGACACACUACACCCCUGGGUCCCCAAGGCACUGCGAUUAGAUUUGCACAGCACACCAGCCACAGCAAUAGGUGAGGAGGCCCAGUGGGAGGCCUUCAGUAACCUGAGCAGUUAGUCCAGGGCCUAUUUCCUCUGGGCAUCCCUGGGUACCCAGCUCCCAGGCUAGGUGUGAGGGGCCCAGGAGGGCUUCCAGUCCAGUCUAGUCCAGCCUAGCCUGGGCUGACUGCCAACAGAGUCCCUGACUGUCCUGUCUCCUUCUUUUUCAGCCAACCAAACUACCAUUCAUUUAAAUUACCACAGUGAUUUCUUAACAUUAUAUUCCUAAGACAGACAACACAGCACUGGGGUGGGACAGAGAAACUUUUUACAGCACGCGCGCGCGCACACACACAUACACACACACACACACACACACACACACAUCACCAAAAGCUACCUGGCACUUUGCACUCCCAUGAGAAUAGAAACAGGUGUACACAACCAUACACACACUCACCCAUGUGCUCUGAUCCCUGAAAAGUUGAAAUUUGUUUGUGGAGUAGCCAUUCCUGUUUAUGCUAAGCCUCUUGGAGUGGAGUGCGGUGGGGUGGGGGAGGACGGGGAACUUGUAUGUCCACUCUGAGAUGUCACACAGUUAUCCCCAGAUAAAGCCAGACCUGAUAAAGAUAGAAAGACUUGAAAGAACAAAAUGUCAGGAUUCUGCUAGGUACAUCUGAAGGUUCUUCAGGCUUUUGAGGGGUCUGUGUGUGUGUGUGUGUGUGUGUGUGUGUGUGUGUGUGUGUGUGUGUGUGGUGUUGGUAAAUGUGGAACGUGUUUAGGGGCCAGAAAUGAACUUUGGCCACUGUUCCUCUGGAGUCCUCCACUGGUUUUGUGACCAGGUGUCUUCACUGGAACUCACUGGGCUAGGCUGGCUGAGAAGUCAAACCCAGGGAUGCACCUCUCUCCCCAGAGCUGGGUUAGAGGUGUGGGCCAUCACACUAGUUUUGUUUAAAUAUGAGCUCUAGGGACAAAACCCAUGUCCUCUGCUUACAAGGUAAUCAGGUUAUGAGCUAAGCUAUCUCCCCAGCCUGGUUUUUUUUUUUAAAUUAUUGAUCCUCCUUCUACAGUUGUUCUAGAAAGAUGCUUUGAAA